AAGUCGUAACAAGGUUUCCGUAGGUGAACCUGCGGAAGGAUCAUUAGUGAAUUGAGCUGGCUUCGGCCGCUCUGAUCUAUACACACCUGUGAACUGUUGGCCUUCGGGUCUUCAAUUACAACUGUGACGAACGUAAAUUAUUAUAACAAAUAAAACUUUUAACAACGGAUCUCUUGGCUCUC
rnacentral:misc_RNA from 1 species